UACGUAGGGUGCAAGCGUUAAUCGGAAUUACUGGGCGUAAAGCGUGCGCAGGCGGUUCUAUAAGCCAGAUGUGAAAUCCCCGGGCUCAACCUGGGAACUGCAUUUGUGACUGUAGAGCUGGAGUACGGUAGAGGGGGAUGGAAUUCCGCGUGUAGCAGUGAAAUGCGUAGAUAUGCGGAGGAACACCGAUGGCGAAGGCAAUCCCCUGGACCUGUACUGACGCUCAUGCACGAAAGCGUGGGGAGCAAACGGG
rnacentral:rRNA from 1 species